AGCUCUUAACAGCCUCAACUCAGAGAUGACACGUGUCUCUUCUGCUCCCAAUCCCUCAGCCAGAAUUAGUAAUGUGGGCUGCUGAAAAAUGUCAGGAGUGCAUGGAUAUUUGGAGAGUGCUGUUUCUGCCACCUUAUUUCAUACCAAACCACAGAAACAAAAUUGGUGACUCUUCUUAGUAAAUUAGAACAGAGUAUCAAAAGGAUUAUUAGGAUCAGAGCAUCUGGAAUGACCAAUGAGUCCAUUAAGUCAGGAGAAUUAGAACAGAACCAUUAUGAGGAAUCAUAAUGGUCAGAAUGGGAACAAACUGACCAAAGGGCUUACUGGAUGAAGCUAACCAGAUAGAGUGAGACCAGAGAGAAGAAGUGGCCCAGGAAGUCAUAACCUCCUGUUCCUGACUUGGACUUUCUGUAAGUGUGAUUCCCAACCUGGUUACUCAUCAGAAUCAUACAAGGAACAUUAGAAAAGCCUUUGUCCUAUGUCUGGAGACUUCUUGGAAGCUGGAGCACACAAAUAGCUACAGCAAACUUGAGGAAUGGGCAUGAAUAGACUGGCUUCGGGGAACCUGCCAGCUUGGCCGUGUGGCCAAGGUAAUAGGCAAGCCAAGGCAGAGCUAGAGCUCAGAGCUGGAGGGGAAAUUAAAGCAGCAAAUGUAGAAACAUUAAGCCUGAAGAGGCGACGACGUUGAAUUCUAAAAUGCAGGCCAAAGCUCAGACUGCAAGCUGUCUGGCUGCUCCGGGUGUGCCCAGAAGUCAAAGUCCAGCAGGGGCAAAGGUGGAGGUGUGGUCCUGCACGUGGGGUGUUGGGGGGAUGUGGAAGAGGAGGUGCUUUAAGAUCCAGAGAUUCCAGCUGCCCUGGUGCACCCUUGGAAGAAUAAAAGGCUAGGAACUGGACAAGUCAGGCUCGAGUCCAAGCUGCCUGAGGAAUCGGGGAAAGAAUGGAGCUCAGAGUGGGAGGUCAGGGCAGUAUUUAAAAAUCCAGGAUAGCAGCAAAGCUGGCGGUGGCCCCUGACUCUGGUAAGGGCAGCCUGCAGCACCAUGCCAAGGGGGGCCUGACUGAUCAUGCCCUGCAUUUGCAAACAAGGAUUAGUAGGGUAUGAGUAGGAUUCUGCUGGUGCCUGGGAAGGCAGUGCCAUCUACAACUUUACAAAGUUUUAACAAAGGCCUGAAGGACACAACCUUCCCCAAAGUCCUGACGUCGCUGUUUGCUGGCAACAAAUAGAGUCAAAAGAAGAGAGGCACAGAAUGUGCCAGGGGUGUGCUGCGUACAGCCCCGAUGACCACAAGGCCUUCUUGGGUCAAGUUCUGCCAUCUCUGGUUAAGAUGGGCUCACCCUCUAGGACCCUGAUUGAGUCCUCGGACCACCAAGAGUGCCCCACCAAGAGCCUCCCUCUUCUGGUGACUCGUGCCUGCUUCCCGUGGAGAGCUCCAGAAGGGAGGAAACUGUGAGGAGGUGGAGAACGUGGCAGGGAUCCUAACUUUCUUACUGAAGGAAGUUCUUCACAAGUACCCAUCUGCCUUCAGGGAAGAAAACAUAACUCAUUUUGGUCUUUCAAAUUCAGUUCUCAAAACCAAAUCCUGUUGUCAGCAAUCUGUGUCCCAACGCCUUCUUCAGCAACAGCAUUUUCCCUGUGGAAUUAGUUUCCAAUGUUCUUUCUUAAAUAAACCACUGAAGAUUAAAAGGAAUCCAGAUACCCACCACA
ensembl:lncRNA LINC01010 long intergenic non-protein coding RNA 1010